rnacentral:rRNA from 1 species
UUUGUAUAAUGGGUCAGCGACUUAUAUUCAGUGGCAAGGUUAACCAUCUAGGGGAGCCGUAGGGAAACCGAGUCUUAACUGGGCGUUCAGUCUCUGGAUAUAGACCCGAAACCAGGUGAUCUAGCCAUGGGCAGGUUGAAGGUUGAGUAACAUCAACUGGAGGACCGAACCGACUAAUGUUGAAAAAUUAGCGGAUGACUUGUGGCUAGGGGUGAAAGGCCAAUCAAACCUGGAGAUAGCUGGUUCUCCCCGAAAGCUAUUUAGGUAGCGCCUCGGACGAAUACUACUGGGGGUAGAGCACUGUUAAGGCUAGGGGGUCAUCCCGACUUACCAACCCUUUGCAAACUCCGAAUACCAGUAAGUACUAUCCGGGAGACACACGGCGGGUGCUAACGUCCGUCGUGGAGAGGGAAACAACCCAGACCGCCAGCUAAGGUCCCAAAUUACUACUAAGUGGGAAACGAUGUGGGAAGGCUCAGACAGCCAGGAUGUUGGCUUAGAAGCAGCCAUCAUUUAAAGAAAGCGUAAUAGCUCACUGGUCGAGUCGGCCUGCGCG